rnacentral:rRNA from 1 species
AUUGAACGCUGGCGGCAGGCUUAACACAUGCAAGUCGAGCGGGGAAGGGUAGCUUGCUACCUAACCUAGCGGCGGACGGGUGAGUAAUGCUUAGGAAUCUGCCAUUUAGUGGGGGACAACAUUCCGAAAGGAAUGCUAAUACCGCAUACGUCCUACGGGAGAAAGCAGGGGAUCUUCGGACCUUGCGCUAAAUGAUGAGCCUAAGUCGGAUUAGCUAGUUGGUGGGGUAAAGGCCUACCAAGGCGACGAUCUGUAGCGGGUCUGAGAGGAUGAUCCGCCACGCUGUGACGGAGACACGGCCCAGACUCCUACGGGAGGCAGCAGUGGGGAAUAUUGGACAAUGGGCGGAAGCCUGAUCCAGCCAUGCCGCGUGUGUGAAGAAGGCCUUAUGGUUGUAAAGCACUGUAAGCGAGGAGGAGGCUACUUAGAUUAAUACUCUAGGAUAGUGGACGUUACUCGCAGAAUAAGCACCGGCUAACUCUGUGCCAGCAGCCGCCGCCG